AGAAUAUAGUGUAAAGGAAACACGAAGAAUUUUGAGUUCUUUGGUGUAGGUUCAAGUCCUAUUAUUCUAG
rnacentral:tRNA from 1 species